rnacentral:rRNA from 1 species
GGAUACUGUCCGGCUUGGGGGUGAGAGAGGCCGACGGUAUCCCGGGGUAGGGGUGAAAUCCUAUAAUCCCGGGAGGACCACCAGUGGCGAAGGCUGUCGGCUAGAACAUGCCCGACGGUGAGGGAUGAAAGCUGGGGGAGCGAACCGGAUUAGAUACCCGGGUAGUCCCAGCUGUAAACGAUGCAGGCUAGGUGUUAGUGCGGCCACGUGCCGCUCUAGUGCCGCAGGGAAGCUGUUAAGCCUGCCGCCUGGGGAGUACGGCCGCAAGGCUGAAACUUAAAGGAAUUGGCGGGGGAGCACCACAAGGGGUGAAGCUUGCGGUUUAAUUGGAGUCAACGCCGGAAAUCUCACCGGGGGCGACAGCAGGAUGAAAGCCAGAUUAAAGGUCUUGCCAGACGAGCUGAGAGGAGGUGCAUGGCCGUCGCCAGUUCGUGCCGUGAGGUGUCCUGUUAAGUCAGGCAACGAUCGAGACCCGCAUCUCCAGUUGCUACUAGCCUUGAGCUGGGCACACUGGGGAGACCGCCGCCGAUAAGGCGGAGGAAGGAGCGGGCCACGGCAGGUCAGUAUGCCCCGAAUCUCCCGGGCCACACGCGAGCUGCAAUGGCAGG